rnacentral:rRNA from 1 species
CGAUAUCGACGAAGUUGAUCAUGGCUCAGAACGAACGCUGGCGGCAGGCCUAACACAUGCAAGUCGAGCGCCCCAGCGAUGGGGAGCGGCGGACGGGUGAGUAACGCGUGGGAACGUGCCUCUUGCUACGGAAUAGCCUCGGGAAACUGGGAGUAAUACCGUAUGUGCCCUACGGGGGAAAGAUUUAUCGGCAAGAGAUCGGCCCGCGUUGGAUUAGGUAGUUGGUGGGGUAAUGGCCUACCAAGCCGACGAUCCAUAGCUGGUUUGAGAGGAUGAUCAGCCAUACUGGGACUGAGACACGGCCCAGACUCCUACGGGAGGCAGCAGUGGGGAAUCUUAGACAAUGGGCGCAAGCCUGAUCUAGCCAUGCCGCGUGAGCGAUGAAGGCCUCAGGGUUGUAAAGCUCUUUCAGUGGGGAAGAUAAUGACUGUACCCACAGAAGAAGCCCCGGNUAACUCCGUG